GGGGAAGGAGGGGAAGAUGGCGGAGUGAGGGGCGGAGGAGGCGGAGGGGCUGGGCCGCCCGCGGCCCCGCGGCCUCGGCCGCGCUCAGGCUGUAAAGAAGAGAAGAGAAAUCGUCUUCUGUGUCCCUGUUAAUUCUACUUAUCUCCUGGAACAUUUGUGUAUGUGUAAGAGACAAAGCUCCCAGAAGAGAUUGUGGAUUGAUUAAAAAUAAUGCUUUCCAGAUCUGUUUUUCCACAUCUUCAUAACAAGAAUAAGACUUUCCCAACAGUGUGAGCAUGGAUGGUCAACAAAAUGAUCAACAGAAGUAUUUGAGUGCCUCAGAGAGAAAGAGAUGGUGACAUGUACUGUAUUUCCAUUUUCAUGAUCUUCUUGCUGCUUCUAACGUAGGAGCUGAAAAUUGUCAGUGGAAGACUUUCUGAACUCGAUCAACCACAUGGUUAAGAUCCUAUCCUGACAUUCAAGAAGGUGGUCCUGUUACCUGCUCAUAGACUGCGAGAUGUGGAUGUUUCUCUUCUAGCAAGCAAAAACCUGUCCUUCACUUCCAUGGAGCUGAAUGAACAAAGAUCUGUCCAGUUUCAGUCAUGUCACCAAACAUUUGGUUCACCAGAUGGCUUCUCCUACAGAAGUACCCCCACUGUUUUAUCAAAAUUCAAAAGCAGAGUAACAGAAAUCAGCAUUUGGUUUCCUGAAGAAGUGUCUUCUGUGCCAGCACUUCAAACAGCUUUCUCCAUUCUGUUUUAAAAUGAGAAAUGCUUUGUAAUCAGAUGCAAGUGGAAGCUGGUGUUCUUCACUGAUAUUUCCUUCUUCAUUUUAGGAAGGUUAGGUACUUUGCUGUGUCAUACUGGAUUUCCUAGCAGAUAAAGUGUCUGCAUGCAUUACUGUGUCAGACUGACUUGACAUAUAUGAAAAGUUGCAGCAGGAAAAAUUGCUCUGGCGUGAGGAGGAAACUUACCAAACAACCGGGGACAUCCCAUACAGGUAUUUUCUAGUCCAGGACCCAGGCUUGACUUUGUAGAUAGAUGUCAAAUCACAUAAAGCAGCUAAUGCAAGAACAAGAACAAAUGCAGAAUCACCUUGUCUGUAGUGUGUAAAUGCAUUAUCCCAGUCUGUGAUCAAAAUGUAUAUUUGCAUGUGUAAACCUAUAUAAGUGCUGGAUAUGAAGAGGUUUCAACAGAAGGAGAAAUCACCCUGCACCAUUUAACUUUUAGCAAAGAAAAAUGAAGCUUUAAAGCCUUGAGGGUAACAGGAUAAUGAUUAGCUUUACGUUAAAUCAUUCCCUCCCUCUGGCUUUUUAUGAAUUCUUAGCAGCAAAAGGAACAAAACCAUUCUACUGUAGAAAAAAUAGGGCAGAACAUGUUUCUUUAUUAUAGAAAUUAACUUCAGGUGAGAUGAAGGAGACCACAAGUGUAAAGUUGCGAUUUAUCCACCUGGCUUCCUUGACACAGUUUCAGCUUUUCAUACUGCUGAUGGAAUCAGCUUUCUUAUUCUUUCAUGACUGAAAACUGAGAGGACCUGUAGAUUUUCAUUAUCUAGGCAGAAAUAGGCUGAAGAGAAUGGAAUGUUAGCCAUGUAAGGGGGUAAGUUGAGGUACAGCAAAAAUACUUAGGAUGGGCCUUUUUCUGUCUCUUCUACUUCCUUCCCAAACUAAGGCACAAUCUGUUGUUCUUAUGUUUACACGAGAUUCUUUGUCUACAUCAUUUGUGCUUAUAUAGGAUGUUUUCUGUCAUUUUGAGAUGGGAGCAUAUAUUGUUUACAUGCUCCCUGCUAUGGUAUUGUUUAUGGCAAGUAAGAUUUCUUGGCAAAAAAACACCAGACCUGGGAUGUGUAUUGUAUUCGACUUCAAAUCUGAAGCUGUUCUUAGUGCACCUUAUUCCAAGCUUGUGAUUUAGAAAAUGUGACUUCCUAGCUUAAAAUAAUGUUCUCAAAUCUGGAUAAUAUAAGGGUAUAUAGCUUCUAUUAAUAUGUUUUGGAGAUACUACAAUGGUUGAGGAGAUGUUCCAGAUUUCUUGUUUUGUUCUGUUUUGCCUUUUAGAAAACUGCUGGAGAGAGCCAAACAGCCUGAAAAUGGCUGAAAAAGCAAACAAUGGAAAUCCUUCUUAAAUCUUAUUGACAGCUUGCAAGGGCAGCAUUCUAAUAUUUAAAAUGUGGUGAUAUUUUAUGGGACCAAGUUCCAUAGCAGAGUGAGGACAAGUGUUGAUGUUGAUCCUGAUCUUCAGAGUAAUGUCUGUGUUUAGACAUGCCUUGUAACAAUAAGAUUUAGUGACAGCUUUACCCAUUUUUUGUUUCCAUGAAGAAAAGAGCAGAUGUGUUAGCUAAAGGGUGGGGGGGCAAGACACCGUGUCUCAAAAUAAUGCCAACUACAAUGAGCAGACAGGUGCACUGAAAUUGUGUCCAACAUUGUGGUGAGCUCUGUGAUAAGAGUUAACAUUGAUCUUGAGGCAACCAUCAGCUUGAUCUGACUUCUUUUAAGAGCAUAGGAUUUCUUUGCUGAAUAUGGUCUGAAUUUUCUGGCAUUGGAGGCAACUAGAAAAGCACACUUCCUUUUAGGGCGUCCUUAUGUUGAAGCCAAUAAGAUUUAAUGUAGAUGUCUGUAGAAGCAGGAUCCAUCUCUAAGUGAUGGAAAAUACUGUCAAUAUCAUAGGAUUAUAAAUGAUUGGAAAGUAUCUGGUAUAAGAAAUGUCUCAUUUUAGAUCUGGGAAUUUUCUUUUUUCCUACUGCCCAUACUUACCCUUCUGCUAUUAGAGCUAGCAGUUGUUUCUUGCAUAGCUUGACGACAAAAUACUGGGGGAACAGGAAGGUAUUUUUGUUUUCUGUGGACAUGUACAGAAAUUGCAAAUUUGUCUGCCUCCAGAGUAGACACUUCAAGCUCUUUAAUUUCUUUUUCUUUAGGAAUAACCCUCAAUAUUUUGUAACCCACAUUGUAACAAAAAAAAAAAAAAAA